GCCCUCGUAGAUCAGUGGUCAGUGGUAGAUUUCCUCCUCGCAAUAAGGGACGGUAUAGAAGUAUUACGGAGGCAACGUGGGUUCGACUCCCACCGAGGGCA